rnacentral:rRNA from 1 species
ACUGAGUGGCGGACGGGUGAGUAACGCGUGAGCAACCUGCCCUUCGGAACGGGGUAGUGUCUGGAAACGGACAGUAAUACCGUAUAACGUAUUUUUACCGCAUGAUAGAAAUACCAAAACUGAGGUGCCGAAGGAUGGGCUCGCGUCUGAUUAGAUAGUUGGUGGGGUAACGGCCUACCAAGUCGACGAUCAGUAGCCGGACUGAGAGGUUGAACGGCCACAUUGGGACUGAGACACGGCCCAG